CCCCUAGAUGUUCUGGGCCGCACGCGCGCUACACUGAACAGUUCAACAAGUCUUAACCUUGGCCGAUAGGUCUGGGUAAUCUUUGAACGCUGUUCGUGACUGGGAUAGACCUUUGCAAUUAUGGGUCUUCAACGAGGAAUUCCUAGUAAACGCAAGUCAUCAGCUUGCAUUGAUUACGUCCCUGCCCUUUGUACACACCGCCCGUCGCACCUACCGAUUGAAUGGUCCGGUGAAAUCUCGGGACGGCGGCUUGGUCGCUUGCGUCCGACUGCUGAAACUUGAUUAAACCAUAUCAUUUAGAGGAAGGUGAAGUCGUAGCA
rnacentral:rRNA from 1 species